GGGUUGUGAGGUUAAGCGACUAAGCGUACACGGUGGAUGCCCUGGCAGUCAGAGGCGAUGAAGGACGUGCUAAUCUGCGAAAAGCGUCGGUAAGGUGAUAUGAACCGUUAUAACCGGCGAUGUCCGAAUGGGGAAACCCAGUGCAAUUCGUUGCACUAUCGUUAACUGAAUACAUAGGUUAACGAGGCGAACCGGGGGAACUGAAACAUCUAAGUACCCCGAGGAAAAGAAAUCAACCGAGAUUCCCCCAGUAGCGGCGAGCGAACGGGGAGCAGCCCAGAGUCUGAAUCAGCUUGUGUGUUAGUGGAACGGUCUGGAAAGUCCGACGGUACAGGGUGAUAGUCCCGUACACCAAAAUGCACAGGCUGUGAACUCGAAGAGUAGGGCGGGACACGUGGUAUCCUGUCUGAAUAUGGGGGGACCAUCCUCCAAGGCUAAAUACUCCUGACUGACCGAUAGUGAACCAGUACCGUGAGGGAAAGGCGAAAAGAACCCCGGCGAGGGGUGAAAAGAACCUGAAACCGUGUACGUACAAGCAGUGGGAGCACCUUCGGGUGUGACUGCGUACCUUUGUAUAAUGGGUCAGCGACUUAUAUUCUGUAGCAAGGUUAACCGUAGUAGGGAGCCGCAGGAAACCGAGUCGUUAACUGGGCGUUAAGUUGCAGGGUAUAGACCCGAAACCCGGUGAUCUAGCCAUGGGCAGGUUGAAGGUUGGGUAACACUAACUGGAGGACCGAACCGACUAAUGUUGAAAAAUUAGCGGAUGACUUGUGGCUGGGGGUGAAAGGCCAAUCAAACCGGGAGAUAGCUGGUUCUCCCCGAAAGCUAUUUAGGUAGCGCCUCGUGAAUUCAUCUUCGGGGGUAGAGCACUGUUUCGGCUAGGGGGUCAUCCCGACUUACCAACCCGAUGCAAACUACGAAUACCGAAGAAUGUUAUCACGGGAGACACACGGCGGGUGCUAACGUCCGUCGUGAAGAGGGAAACAACCCAGACCGCCAGCUAAGGUCCCAAAGUCAUGGUUAAGUGGGAAACGAUGUGGGAAGGCACAGACAGCCAGGAUGUUGGCUUAGAAGCAGCCAUCAUUUAAAGAAAGCGUAAUAGCUCACUGGUCGAGUCGGCCUGCGCGGAAGAUGUAACGGGGCUAAACCAUGCACCGAAGCUGCGGCAGCGACACUAUGUGUUGUUGGGUAGGGGAGCGUUCUGUAAGCCUGCGAAGGUGACCUGUGAGGGUUGCUGGAGGUAUCAGAAGUGCGAAUGCUGACAUAAGUAACGAUAAAGCGGGUGAAAAGCCCGCUCGCCGGAAGACCAAGGGUUCCUGUCCAACGUUAAUCGGGGCAGGGUGAGUCGACCCUAAGGCGAGGCCGAAAGGCGUAGUCGAUGGGAAACAGGUUAAUAUUCCUGUACUUGGUGUUACUGCGAAGGGGGGACGGAGAAGGCUAUGUUAGCCGGGCGACGGUUGUCCCGGUUUAAGCAUGUAGGCUGGUUGUCCAGGCAAAUCCGGAUAAUCAAGGCUGAGGUGUGAUGACGAGGCACUACGGUGCUGAAGUAACAAAUGCCCUGCUUCCAGGAAAAGCCUCUAAGCAUCAGGUAACAUCAAAUCGUACCCCAAACCGACACAGGUGGUCAGGUAGAGAAUACCAAGGCGCUUGAGAGAACUCGGGUGAAGGAACUAGGCAAAAUGGUGCCGUAACUUCGGGAGAAGGCACGCUGGUGUGUAGGUGAAGUCCCUGCGGAUGGAGCUGAGACCAGUCGAAGAUACCAGCUGGCUGCAACUGUUUAUUAAAAACACAGCACUGUGCAAACACGAAAGUGGACGUAUACGGUGUGACGCCUGCCCGGUGCCGGAAGGUUAAUUGAUGGGGUUAUCCGUAAGGAGAAGCUCUUGAUCGAAGCCCCGGUAAACGGCGGCCGUAACUAUAACGGUCCUAAGGUAGCGAAAUUCCUUGUCGGGUAAGUUCCGACCUGCACGAAUGGCGUAAUGAUGGCCAGGCUGUCUCCACCCGAGACUCAGUGAAAUUGAACUCGCUGUGAAGAUGCAGUGUACCCGCGGCAAGACGGAAAGACCCCGUGAACCUUUACUAUAGCUUGACACUGAACAUUGAGCCUUGAUGUGUAGGAUAGGUGGGAGGCUUUGAAGCGUGGACGCCAGUCUGCGUGGAGCCAACCUUGAAAUACCACCCUUUAAUGUUUGAUGUUCUAACGUUGGCCCCUGACCGGGGUUGCGGACAGUGUCUGGUGGGUAGUUUGACUGGGGCGGUCUCCUCCCAAAGCGUAACGGAGGAGCACGAAGGUUAGCUAAUCCUGGUCGGACAUCAGGAGGUUAGUGCAAUGGCAUAAGCUAGCUUGACUGCGAGCGUGACGGCGCGAGCAGGUGCGAAAGCAGGUCAUAGUGAUCCGGUGGUUCUGAAUGGAAGGGCCAUCGCUCAACGGAUAAAAGGUACUCCGGGGAUAACAGGCUGAUACCGCCCAAGAGUUCAUAUCGACGGCGGUGUUUGGCACCUCGAUGUCGGCUCAUCACAUCCUGGGGCUGAAGUAGGUCCCAAGGGUAUGGCUGUUCGCCAUUUAAAGUGGUACGCGAGCUGGGUUUAGAACGUCGUGAGACAGUUCGGUCCCUAUCUGCCGUGGGCGCUGGAGAAUUGAGGGGGGCUGCUCCUAGUACGAGAGGACCGGAGUGGACGCAUCACUGGUGUUCGGGUUGUCAUGCCAAUGGCACUGCCCGGUAGCUAAAUGCGGAAGAGAUAAGUGCUGAAAGCAUCUAAGCACGAAACUUGCCCCGAGAUGAGUUCUCCCUGAGACUUUAAGUCUCCUGAAGGAACGUUAAAGACGAUGACGUUGAUAGGCCGGGUGUGUAAGCGCAGCGAUGCGUUGAGCUAACCGGUACUAAUGAACCGUGAGGCUUAACCUUACAACGCCGAAG
rnacentral:rRNA from 1 species